rnacentral:rRNA from 1 species
AGUGAACGCUGGCGGUAGGCCUAACACAUGCAAGUCGAACGGCAGCACAGUAAGAGCUUGCUCUUACGGGUGGCGAGUGGCGGACGGGUGAGGAAUACAUCGGAAUCUACUUUUUCGUGGGGGAUAACGUAGGGAAACUUACGCUAAUACCGCAUACGACCUACGGGUGAAAGCAGGGGAUCUUCGGACCUUGCGCGAUUGAAUGAGCCGACGUCGGAUUAGCUAGUUGGCGGGGUAAAGGCCCACCAAGGCGACGAUCCGUAGCUGGUCUGAGAGGAUGAUCAGCCACACUGGAACUGAGACACGGUCCAGACUCCUACGGGAGGCAGCAGUGGGGAAUAUUGGACAAGGGGCGCAAGCCUGAUCCAGCCAUACCGCGUGGGUGAAGAAGGCCUUCGGGUUGUAAAGCCCUUUUGUUGGGAAAGAAAAGCAGCAGGUUAAUACCCCGCUGUUCUGACGGUACCCAAAGAAUAAGCACCGGCUAACUUCGUG